UACGUAGGGUGCGAGCGUUGUCCGGAAUUAUUGGGCGUAAAGAGCUCGUAGGCGGUUUGUCACGUCUGCUGUGAAAUCCCGAGGCUCAACCUCGGGCCUGCAGUGGGUACGGGCAGACUAGAGUGCGGUAGGGGGAGACUGGAAUUCCUGGUGUAGCGGUGAAAUGCGCAGAUAUCAGGAGGAACACCGGUGGCGAAGGCGGAUCUCUGGGCCAUUACUGACGCUGGAGGAGCGAAAGCGUGGGGAGCGAACAGG
rnacentral:rRNA from 1 species